GCCGAAAUUUGAUUUUUAUUUCUGUACUAGUAUAGGAUGAUUUUGUUUUUAAUUUUAAUAAAGACUUCUGUUUGAUUUAUUUGAGAAAUAAAUUGGUUGCACAUUAUCUUUUGAUUGACAGUCUUUAUCACUUGCAUAUUGAUAUGAAUGUAAACGUAAACGAACAGAUAGUCAGUAGUGCUGUAGGUCAUAAAUGACCUAGAGAUAAUAUUAACCA
rnacentral:lncRNA from 1 species